rnacentral:rRNA from 1 species
AUGCUUAUUGAUAUUGGAGACUUUGGCACCUUACUUGGGAUGCAUGCUUGUUUGAGUGAGCCUAUUGCACUUGGUUGUUCUCGCAUCUUGUGCCUACAUACUAUGCCAUGUACCCUUGUCCUUUCUUAUGAUAAGAAUGAUGAAAACACUUGUUGGGUAUUUCACCACACGAAUGAUAGGUGUUGCAUUUGCACUAACCUCAUUUGUUUUUCCGAGUGUUUGUCAUGUUCUUUCAUUUUGAAGGAUUCACAAGGCGGUACCAUCACGAGACAUAUUGGUUAUGUGAAGGCAUACAAUAUGCGCAACUCCAACAUCUUUAAGAAACUCCUAAUGGUGACCUCCUUCCCCUUGAGCCAUCCUCACAUAUGCAUAUUGAAUGGGUCAUUCUUUCAUUGUUAUCUCCUUCUUCUUGUCUACAUGAUACAUCUAUUGGAUGGAGGAACGACAUUGGAGAUGGACCCUAUGGACCUUCAAGUUGAGGAGUGCCACGACAUUGAGCUAUGGUACAACACCACCCAUAACAAAUUUGCAUCUUAUGCAUGGAUUGACUCACAUUAUGAUUGCCUUAUUGCAUCUUGCAUUUCCAUGUCAUCCAUGAUAUAUGAGCUUGUGCAUUUCCUUAGCAAAUUUGUUGUGAUCCUUCUUGAUGGCAUAUUCAUACAUAAUGAUCACAUUGCCUACCAUCAAUUGCAUGAUAACAUAUUCAUAUUGAGCAUCCAUUGCCAUAUUCAUGCUACUGAUAAACUGUCUCACUAUGACAUUAUUUUGCACCGUGGUUGCCUUGAUCAUAUUCACAACACAUUUGUGUGCACAUUGAAUGCUUUUGCUGAAUGCAUUACAUAUCAUUCUACAUCUUUUGGAGAAGCAUCAUGUGUCUUGCCACACACAAUCUUGCCAAACGGACUCAUACUUACUUGA